UCAAACUCUCGGCCUACGAGAUCCUCUCGGGCUCCGUGGACGGACGCGUCCGGCGCUACGACCUUCGGGCGGGGCAGCUCUACUCUGAUUACAUUGGCAGUCCCAUCACCAGCGUGUGCUUCACCAAGGACAGGCAGUGAUUUUGGGGGGUGGGAGAGC